rnacentral:tRNA from 1 species
GGAGGGGUGGCCGAGUCCGGUUGAAGGCGCCGGUCUUGAAAACCGGAGCCCCGCAAGGGGUCGGGGGUUCGAAUCCCUCCCCCUCCGCCA